UUUUCGCGUAAGGGAUAGCAGUGGAAAUCCUUUUUACUUUAUACAGCGAUAGCGGAAUAAAGUAAAAAGAUUGUAACGAAUAGCCCGACCGCGC
rnacentral:sRNA from 1 species